UCCGUAGGUGAACCUGCGGAGGGAUCAUUACCAGAGUGCCCUAGGCUCUCCAACCCAUUGUGAACUUACCAAACGUUCCCUCGGCGGGCUCAGCGCGCGGUGGCCUCCGGGCCUCCGGGCGUCCGCCGGGGAAAACCAAACCCUGAUUUAAUCGUACUUCUCUGAGGGGCGAAAGCCCGAAAACAAAAUGAAUCAAAACUUUCAACAACGGAUCUCUUGGCUCUGGCAUCGAUGAAGAACGCAGCGAAAUGCGAUAAGUAAUGUGAAUUGCAGAAUUCAGUGAAUCAUCGAAUCUUUGAACGCACAUUGCGCCCGCCGGCACUCCGGCGGGCAUGCCUGUCCGAGCGUCAUUUCAACCCUCAGGCCCACCCUUCCGGGGGAGCGGGCCUGGUUCUGGGGAUCGGCGGCCCUCGCGGCCCCCGUCCCUCAAAUUCAGUGGCGGUCGCGCCGCAGCCUCCCCUGCGUAGUAGCACAACCUCGCACCGGAGAGCGGAACGACCACGCCGUAAAACACCCAAUUUUUUAAGGUUGACCUCGGAUCAGGUAGGAAUACCCGCUGAACUUAAGCAUAUCAAUAAGCGGAGGA
rnacentral:rRNA from 1 species